rnacentral:rRNA from 1 species
UACGAAGGGGGCUAGCGUUGUUCGGAAUUACUGGGCGUAAAGCGCACGUAGGCGGAUACUUAAGUCAGGGGUGAAAUCCCGGGGCUCAACCCCGGAACUGCCUUUGAUACUGGGUAUCUCGAGUCCGGAAGAGGUGAGUGGAAUUCCGAGUGUAGAGGUGAAAUUCGUAGAUAUUCGGAGGAACACCAGUGGCGAAGGCGACUCUUUGGUCUGUAACUGACGCUGAGGCGCGAAAGCGUGGGGAGCAAACAGG